rnacentral:rRNA from 1 species
AGUGAACGCUGGCGGUAGGCCUAACACAUGCAAGUCGAACGGCAGCACAGUAAGAGCUUGCUCUUACGGGUGGCGAGUGGCGGACGGGUGAGGAAUACAUCGGAAUCUACUUUUUCGUGGGGGAUAACGUAGGGAAACUUACGCUAAUACCGCAUACGACCUACGGGUGAAAGCAGGGGAUCUUCGGACCUUGCGCGAUUGAAUGAGCCGAUGUCGGAUUAGCUAGUUGGCGGGGUAAAGGCCCACCAAGGCGACGAUCCGUAGCUGGUCUGAGAGGAUGAUCCGCCACACUGGAACUGAGACACGGUCCAGACUCCUACGAGAGGCAGCAGUGGGGAAUAUUGGACAAUGGGCGCAAGCCUGAUCCAGCCAUACCGCGUGGGUGAAGAAGGCCUUCGGGUUGUAAAGCCCUUUUGUUGGGAAAGAAAAGCAGCAGGUUAAUACCCCGCUGUUCUGACGGUACCCAAAGAAUAAGCACCGGCUAACUUCG